GAUGAACGCUGGCGGCGUGCCUAAUACAUGCAAGUCGAGCGAACAGACGAGGAGCUUGCUCCUCUGACGUUAGCGGCGGACGGGUGAGUAACACGUGGAUAACCUACCUAUAAGACUGGGAUAACUUCGGGAAACCGGAGCUAAUACCGGAUAACAUGUUGAACCGCAUGGUUCAACAGUGAAAGACGGUCUUGCUGUCACUUAUAGAUGGAUCUGCGCCGCAUUAGCUAGUUGGUAAGGUAACGGCUUACCAAGGCAACGAUGCGUAGCCGACCUGAGAGGGUGAUCGGCCACACUGGAACUGAGACACGGUCCAGACUCCUACGGGAGGCAGCAGUAGGGAAUCUUCCGCAAUGGGCGAAAGCCUGACGGAGCAACGCCGCGUGAGUGAAGAAGGUCUUCGGAUCGUAAAACUCUGUUAUUAGGGAAGAACGAAUGUGUAGGUAACUAUGCACGUCUUGACGGUACCUAAUCAGAAAGCCACGGCUAACUACGUG
rnacentral:rRNA from 1 species